AGAGUUUGAUCCUGGCUCAGGAUGAACGCUGGCGGCGUGCCUAACACAUGCAAGUCGAACGAAGCUUGACGGAUGAUUUCUUCGGAAUGAAACCAGAUAUGACUUAGUGGCGGACGGGUGAGUAACACGUGAGCAACCUGCCUUUCAGAGGGGGAUAACGGCUGGAAACGGUCGCUAAUACCGCAUGAUGUGUUCGGAUGGCAUCAUCUGAACAUCAAAGAUUUAUCGCUGAAAGAUGGGCUCGCGUCUGAUUAGAUAGUUGGUGGGGUAACGGCCUACCAAGUCUGCGAUCAGUAGCCGGACUGAGAGGUUGAACGGCCACAUUGGGACUGAGAUACGGCCCAGACUCCUACGGGAGGCAGCAGUGGGGAAUAUUGCACAAUGGGGGAAACCCUGAUGCAGCAACGCCGCGUGAAGGAUGACGGUUUUCGGAUUGUAAACUUCUUUUCUUAGUGACGAAGACAGUGACGGUAGCUAAGGAAUAAGCAUCGGCUAACUACGUGCCAGCAGCCGCGGUAAUACGUAGGAUGCAAGCGUUAUCCGGAUUUACUGGGUGUAAAGGGAGCGCAGGCGGGACUGCAAGUUGGAUGUGAAAUACCGUGGCUUAACCACGGAACUGCAUCCAAAACUGUAGUUCUUGAGUGAAGUAGAGGCAAGCGGAAUUCCGAGUGUAGCGGUGAAAUGCGUAGAUAUUCGGAGGAACACCAGUGGCGAAGGCGGCUUGCUGGGCUUUAACUGACGCUGAGGCUCGAAAGUGUGGGGAGCAAACAGGAUUAGAUACCCUGGUAGUCCACACUGUAAACGAUGAUAGCUAGGUGUGGGGGGUCUGACCCCUUCCGUGCCGGAGUUAACGCAAUAAGCUAUCCACCUGGGGAGUACGACCGCAAGGUUGAAACUCAAAGGAAUUGACGGGGGCCCGCACAAGCAGUGGAUUAUGUGGUUUAAUUCGAAGCAACGCGAAGAACCUUACCAGGUCUUGACAUCCGACUAACGAGAUAGAGAUAUGUCAGGUGCCCUUCGGGGAAAGUCGAGACAGGUGGUGCAUGGUUGUCGUCAGCUCGUGUCGUGAGAUGUUGGGUUAAGUCCCGCAA
rnacentral:rRNA from 1 species